AUGGAGACGGGAUACUCUAACCUGAGGAGACCAAAGAGGAAACUCUGCUAUCUCACAAACAAGACCAGUCCACCCAAAAAAUGGUCGGAACCUCUGACAUUGGAUGACAUUGACAAGAUGUUUGAUGACUUGGAUCCAUCCUCACAUGUUAAAGAUGACCUGUUGCCCUCGUCUAGUCUGCUUCAGACCUUUGAUACUGAGCCAAACCAGUGUGGGAGACCGGUUUCACCGCUCCCACAGGAAGGACAUCUAACAGAAAGAUGCCAAAUGGAUCCUAAAGGUGAUUCACUUCAUCCUGCAUCAGCACCCAGUCCUAAACCAGCAAUUGAUUUGGACGUCCCGUUUAAAGCACACAUGCCAGUGAAGACAUCCAGCCCUAUUGAAGAGAAGAUGGUUGUUGAAGAGUUGGACAAUGAAAAGGAUCAUGUUGUAUCCCCAAUUCUCUUUGCCUGUGACGAUGAAGCAGCAGCAAAGACGGAGCCUCUGCUCCUCCAAGGACCCCAGUGCAAUGGGCACGGCACAGAGCAAAAUCCUGACUAUGUGUUUGAGUCUCCUCCAAGCAAUGUUGUUUUCAACAAACCCAAGAUAUCCAGUCAUCGAAACAAGGUAGUGGGAUUGAGCACAGAGACUCUCACAGUCAAAGAAAAAAUCCUCCCGAAACCCCAAACAUCUGAUUUUGAGGGCCAACAAAAAACACAGAGGCAAGAAAGCAGAGACCCACCUGCAUCCGCAGUGAGACGGGAACCUGAACUGGCAGCUCCCAAGAAGACAUCUGAAAAUGACAUGACCGCCUUUCUCAUGAAGCUUCGAGAUGCUGGGCAGCCCAAAGCCACAUGUUCCAGGAAGACACCAGUGAAAGUUCCCACUCCUUCUGCUGAGCCAGAGGAUGACUUCCUCAUUCUGGAGGAUGAAAAACCUCUUUGGUUUUCUAUCCCGACUAAAACUGCCACAAGAAAAAAACAGCGAGAGGGGAGAACCUCCAGCUCCGACAAAGACAGUUCAACAGACAAGAGCAAGAAGGAUAGCUCGUUAGAGACGGCACAAAAACGGCAGGAAUCUGAACAGGCGAAGAACACACUGGGAAGUCAGUCCGUCCGUCAGAGAACCAACAAGUCAAAAGGGGGAGAGAAGAAGAAUAAGAAGAUUGCUGAGCCCGGAAGCGAUAAGGAAGGACUGCCCGGUCUUGAAGACCUUCCUGAAGGCGACUUAAGGUUUGAAGAGCAACCAAAAGAAAAGCAAGGGAAGAAAAGAGCCACAUCUAAAGGAAGUGACAAGGAGCAAGAAGAGCAACCGAAGGACAAAGCCGGCGGGGAAACACACAAAGAAAAAGCCCCCCGGAAGACGGAGAAGAAAGCUCCGAAGUCUAUAAAAUGCGAGAACGAAAACGCAAAGACGAGCCGGGCUGAAUCAUUAAAGCGGGGCAGGAGGGGGGCGCACGGACCCGCCGCCGUGAAACAGGCGACGAGCGACGAGGCCCAGAAGGAACAAAGCCGGGGCAGUGAGGAGCACGCAGAGGCUGAAGACCUGGGCUCUCCUCCAGACGCAGAAAUGAUGAAUUCUGACGCUCAAACAGAAAAUUAUGUUGCAGAAGAAAAGGACAAAAUGAAGAAACUCCCUGUUGCGUCCAAAGAGACUUCGUCUGAAGAAGAUGUGAUUCAUUGCAAAAGGAAGAGGAGGCCGGUCGGACAGUGGUGGGCGAACCAACAGAUCACAGAGGAAACGAAGCCUUCAGACAGCCGGCCCACUGCCAAGAAGUCAAAGCAGCACAACCAGCAGCCUGUAAAGACAAAGAAGGACCGAGUUCUAGAGAAAAUAAACCAGAUCCAGCCAUCCACCCGGAAGCCAAAUAAAUCUAAAGGCAGGGAAACUAAACAGAGCAAAAUUAAAAACACAAGAGAAGCCAGUCGACCAGAUAAAGUUUUCCAAAAGAUUGAGAAAGAGCCGCAGGCCCAGGAUGGACCGUCCAGCCCGUUGGACCUCUCCCAAAGAGACCCCAGCUGUAACUUGGGGGAUCAGAUAUUUCAGAGCGCGUACCACAACUCCUGGAAUGAAAAACCGUGCACCACCCCGGCGUCCGUCUCUGCCGGAGGGCGCCGGGAGCAGUUCAGGGCAGCGGAGUCCGAGAGGCGGAGCAGGAAGCCUCCCGGGAACUGGUGGCAGGUUGGUGACGUGUGUGAGGAAGCCGAGGGCGUCUCCCCCCGGCCGCAGGGGCCUGAACCUGCUAAGGAGAGAAAAAGGGUGUCUAAACGGAGAAGCAGAGCCCCCCGACUCGGGACUCCCAAAAACGGCAACACGGCGGCCUUGCGGAAACAACGAGGGGGAGCCGCCGCCCCUCUUCUGGCGACUCCAAAGGCUGCAGUCUUCCUGGCAGCUGUUAAAGGCCUACUCGCCCCGGCCACGGCCCCCAGGAGGGAGGCGGGUCGGACGAGCCGACGCGGAGUCGCUGCUCCUCCGGCCGAGGACGCCGUCUGCACGGUGUUCAGCGAUGGGGACUUACUCGGUUCGGCUGCCGUUGAACUCCAAAGCUCACACGACCAAUCGGCCAACCGCGAGGCGCCACACGGCAGCAACUGUCAGUCGGAGAACCAGUUACAAUCCGUCAGAAGUGGGCCGUCCUCCAUGAUUGAGCUGAUAGAGUAUGAGGAGGACGAAGACAACUUGAUUUUUAUGCCGGACAGGUCGCCCGCUGCUCUCUCUUUAUCAGAUCUGUGUGCUCCUCCUCUCAAGCCGUUGAUCCUACAGCCGAAGGACAAAGACAACCUGACGGAGUGGUUUAGGAGUCUCUGGUCUGUUCCUGUCGACAAAGGUGGAGAAGUCUCUCCAGACCAGUUUGAGUGGUACUUCCAUCAAGGCCGAGCUAUUGGCUUCGUGUUGGACCUGAACUGUGGCUCCUUCUGUAAUGGAAAGAUCCUGCUGGGCUCCUACAUGAAGAAGCCUCUGUGGGUGGAUCACAGCGCCACAACAGUUUUUAACUUAUUAACAAGCUCUGUGAGUGUAACCAUCGACGGCAAGGAAUCCUGCUUCCAUCCCGGUCAAUCCCUCAUGGUGCCAUGUGGACGCGCCUACAGCAUCCAAAACGUCACGGCACAGCCUGCAGUGAUGUACUUCACCCGCAUGCUAGCAGAGAGCGCGCACUGA
ensembl:lncRNA